rnacentral:rRNA from 1 species
GACGAACGCUGGCGGCGCGCCUAACACAUGCAAGUCGAACGGAGCUGAGAGAAGCUUGCUUUUCUUAGCUUAGUGGCGAACGGGUGAGUAACGCGUGAGUAACCUGCCCUGGAGUGGGGGACAACAGUUGGAAACGACUGCUAAUACCGCAUAAGCUCACGAUCCGGCAUCGGAUUGAGGGAAAAGGAUUUAUUCGCUUCAGGAUGGACUCGCGUCCAAUUAGCUAGUUGGUGAGGUAACGGCCCACCAAGGCGACGAUUGGUAGCCGGACUGAGAGGUUGAACGGCCACAUUGGGACUGAGACACAGCCCAGACUCCUACGGGAGGCAGCAGUGGGGGAUAUUGCACAAUGGGGGAAACCCUGAUGCAGCGACGCCGCGUGGAGGAAGAAGGUUUUCGGAUUGUAAACUCCUGUCGUUAGGGACGAUAAUGACGGUACCUAACAAGAAAGCACCGGCUAACUACGUG